AGUUUGUCCUCCAUGUUGCCCAAGGAACCAGAACAGGCUUUCCUCUUCAUCCACCAAAAGCAAAGAGAGGAGAACAGAUGUCUUGAACUGACUAUUAAGGAGUCCCCUUUUACUUGCACUCAGCAGCUCAGAGAAGAAUAUGUGACAUCUGCCAGAACUGAACUGCAGAACAACAGCAAAGCUCCAGUUCUGCCUCACCACUUGAAGCACAGGCACAAAAAAUGUACUGUGAGAUGGAGUAACAAAAAUACUGUCAUGCCUGUCACUGCAGGGGGAACUCCAAAAGCUGGGGAGCUACAGAGAGAUGUCUAAUUUUAGGAGGCUGCUCCAGUGUAAGAUACAUCUAGUAAAGUGGAUAGAGACUACCUGAGUCAAAGAGUUCCAAUUCCAACCUUUUAUGUUGUAGGUUAAAACAUGCAGGCUGCAGUGGUGAAUAUGGAUCACUGAACACAAACCCACAAGCAACAGAAAACGAAGAACACGUAUGUGCUUGACCUCAGCACUGCUGCCUGUAAGUUGUUCUCAAACCAACAAAAACAUUUCAGUGGCUGGAAAAGAUGAACAGGCCUGGUUGCCAAGUCGUGGCCCGAACUAUUCCAGAGGGCAAGGAAAGACAGCUGGACUGCUGGUAAAGAACAAGGCUAUUUAAGGAGACUCCUUCUGGCCUAAUGGAAAAUGCAAGGAUAUAAUUAUCAAUUAUUUUAAACUAAAACAACAUUUCAGGUCCAGGAAAAAAACCAUCACAAAGGAAGCACAAGAGAGAAGCUGGUUCCAUUCAGCUGGCAGCUCAAUCCAGGUAUAAAAAGAGCAGAGUGUGCUGUUCUUUAGAAGGAAGAAAAUUAGAUGUUUUCCACAAGAUGGUGAUUCUGGACAGUGCUUCAACCUUCAAAGCAAACUCUGAAUGCAGCUGCAGUGUUGUCCCAGUCCCUGUCCCAAGCAGUGACACACAGCUGAGCUGAUCACAGAGACUGGGGCUACCCCAGGGCAGCCGGGAAAGCGGUCAGUGGGACAGAGCUAAAGAAAAGAUUGUUAAAUAUAUGGCCAUAUGUUUAUGUCUCAAACUCUGUGAUGAUCUGCUUUCUCUUUCAGCCCUCUGGGCAGCUGCUCCUUCUGUGCUGCACAGUGUUCCAUACUAAGAAUUCCUAUGCAAAAUUCUGGCUGUCACCCAGAUACAGAGCAAAAGAAACAGCACUCCUGGAGUCUCUGUGAGAAGGGGCCAAUACACAAGUGUCAACGAGCACCCAGAGCUGAAAUCUAGAUGUAAAACUCUUGGAAAUGACUGUCAGAAGUGCAGCCUUGUCUGCUGCUGCAAAAUACCCCCACCAUUGCUGAAUAUAGCACCAUUCUUUUACCACCACCUUAGUCACAAACUGUUCAAAGCCUCCUAUUUCUGACCAGCUGCCCCAGUGGAUGCUCAGAAGUCACAACAGCAUUUAACAUGAUUUGUAAUGAGGGAGGACAGCAGAAAACUUGCUGUGUUUCUUUAAAAGGAAUACUCUCUUCAGGGCAUGAUGCCUAGCACCAAAAAAAAAGGCCAAAACUUUGGUUUAGAACCCAGUCAAAAGUGCAAGUUUAAAAGAAUUCUCAACAUUCAUGUUCUGUUCCUCAGCACUUCCUUUGCUAGCAGUUACACAUUACAACAUACAGCUCUAUAAAUACAUGUGACAACCCAAUCGUUGAACAUUAUGGUAUAUGACAAAACUUUGACAAGAAUAUUGCCCAGGACUUCCCAAAAUUAACUAUGCUGUACAGUUUUUGUAAUUCCUGUUCAGGACUGGAGCUGAACUUUGAAGAGAUUUAAAUACACAUGCACACUGUGUUUACACAGUGUGAGAGUCUGCGCUGCAAAGCUGUGAAAUGACUGUGCUGCUGAUUCACAUCACAGGGAGGUGUUACUUUCUGGCUUCUAACGAACCAACAGUGCUUGAUUUUGAAGGCCAGAACAUCCUCCUGUCUUCUUCAGUGUCCUGAGCAAACAUAAGUGGAUGAGGGAGGAGUUCCAAGAUACAGCAUAGGAAAUUCAGGUGUAAACUGGAUCUGGAAAUGAAAUUGGUGAUCUAAUACACUGCUGACAUAAAAAAGUAAAUCAUACUUUCUGGCUCUGUCAGUGGAAGUGCUACAGGCUACUUUAUAGUAACUCCUGGGUCCCAAUCAAAUCUUCAUCUGAGUGGUUUUAUUCAACCUCCUAAACUCCCACAGAAGCUUUGCUGGAUGUAACAUUCUACUCCUCUUUUCCUGCAGUACUAUAGAGUCAGCUCUGUGCCUCUAGCCUGUUUGUAUAUAUUAAAGAAGCUUGGGGUUAGGACUGUGGUAUAUCAAAGUCAAGGUCUCCAUUAGGAGAAUUGGGGUAUUUAAAGUAACUGCACAGCCCUGACAAUAUUCCUGUGAUGAGUAACUGACUGCUACAGGGCAUCUUGGGUCAACUUCCAUUCCUGCCCACUCUGUCAGAGAGGCUUGAUGGACAAGGCAGGACUGGUGAUGUUUGCAUCAACUGGAUUUUAUUGAGUUCAUCUCCAGGGGUGAUAUAUGAGUCUCCUGGUGUAAAAGUAUGUUUAAAUUGCCAGUGGGUAGAGAACUGGAGUUGCUGGCAAUCCUAGACAGCUGCUAUUUAAGGAUGUCUAUAGAUCUGUAACACAGGUGACAUUUCCAGAAAACUCAACUGGAAAUCCCAGGAAGAAACAAAAUUAUCCUAAAUGUAUAAAAUGAGAUAUGGGCAAUACAGAUUCUGUGGGCUUGGGGAACUCAUUGUUUCCUGCCUAGGUUGGACAAACGGUUCUUGAGGUGGCUGAACACUGAUUAGCUUUACUUUUCAGCUCUGAUACUUAAAAUCACACUGAGGGCCUCUGUGUGCAGACACAGGGAGAACUGAUGAGAAGAAGUUUUACUACUGCACUGCUAUUAGAAGCAUUCAGAAGGGACACUGGUGUUUUGUUGGCUAGCAGCUGCACAGAAAACUGGAAGGAUACACUGCUGAGCUCCAUGUUCCAGCAGUUUCUGACCCAUCUCAACUUCUAUCCUGAUAAUAUUAGCACAAUGCAUUUAGGAUACCUGAGGACUGGGUCAAAUCUGAGAGAAGAGUUCAGUUAGGACUGAGGAAGUUGAUGCCAAGCAGAGAAAGGAUGAAAGCCAUCAUCAAGCACAUGACACAGCACCAGAAUGUCCAGUUUUGUGUAUUUCAGCCCAGAAAUUGUUGACCUUCAUGUAAUUCAGUGCAUAAGGUGUCUCACAUGACCCAGGAUGAAGCUGAAAGGCUACUGUCAUCACAGACAUCUUAACUUACCCAUGAAGAAAUACUCUGGAGACUUUUUGUCUGAAGCAAAGUCUGCCAUGACGCCACCAAACCGCAGCCAUAGGCCAAAGGCAAUGACAGCCAAUCCUGCCAGCUGGAACAUAAACAGAGUGGUCUGUAACAAUUGCCUGGAGAGCAUCAAAGAGGCCCCACUGGCACCUUACACUUUCUUGGAAUCCCACAGCUCAGGAUUGAACUGUCAGAAAACUGAGGAAGCACUUGCCAGUGUUUGAUAACAAUGAACUCCUACUCUGGUGCAAUGUCCUUUCAGCUUUUCUAUGUAGUGGUGCUUCUGAACUUACCAGUGACUUUCAAACCUUGUACAUUUAGUCAUUAAAUCAUCAAAACUUGUCCUAAUUGCAA